AAGAGGAUUGGUUAUAGAAACGGCUGCUAACUGAUUUCUAAAGCGGUUUAACUCCGUUUUCCUCUUA
rnacentral:tRNA from 1 species